rnacentral:rRNA from 1 species
AAUGAACGUUGGCGGCGUGGAUUAGGCAUGCGAGUCGUGCGAGAACCGUAGCAAUACGGGGAAAGCGGCGAAAGGGAGAGGAAUAUGCGGGUACCUACACUCGGAUCUGGGAUAGCCACAGGAAACUGUGGGUAAUACCAGAUAAUGUCUCCGGACCAAAGGUGUGAUUUCGUCUGGGGAGGGGCGCACGUCCUGUUAGGUAGUUGGUGAGGUGACGGGUCACCAAGGCGAAGUUGGGUAUGGGAUGUGAGAGCAUGAUCCCACUCAUUGGGACUGAGACACAGCCCAGACACCUACGGGUGGCUGCAGUCGAGAAUCUUCGGCAAUGGGGGAAACCCUGACCGAGCGACGCCGCGUGCGGGAUGAAGGCCUUCGGGUUGUAAAUCGCUGUCAGUGGGGAGGAAAUGUUGGUAGGUUCUCCCAUCAAUUUGACCGUUCCGCAGAGAAAGGACGGGCUAAGUUCGUGCCAGCAGCCGCAGUAACAC